GACACAGAGGAGGUGACCGGAGAGAAAAGUUCACUUCUGCGUGCGCAGGUGGAUGAAGCAGGUGCUUAUAAGAAGAUAUAUGACUAUGGAGGGACUGAAUGGCCUUGGAGGAAAGAGGUGGCUGGACAUUCAACUGUUGCUGUCAUUGACACUUUUGAAGCUGAUAUCGCCAUGACUCCUGAGAAAGAUCCUCAGAGACCAUCAUUCUUCAAGAACCAGGUGGUGGCGGUAUGGAAAAUGCACAGAGUGCCUGGACACCGGUUUUGGCUGCUUGCGAGGAACAAGAUCUCCAACACCUGCAUUUAAUAUCUCAAAAGUGUGCGAAGUUUCCUCUAUUUCUCAAAUGCUCCAGAUGCAUUCUGCGUUCUUUAGAGCCUUUUGGGAAGGACACAGCCUGUGCCACCUCUGGCCAUGUAUGGAAAGUGAACCCUCAGCCAAACCAUCAUGUUGGGAAGAAGAACUGUCAGGAAUAUUUUCUGACCAGUCAGACGAAUCCUGACUGGUCUCAGGAAUGUAUUCUUCUUCACUGUCAUCUGUGGUGAAGUCCAAAGGCUCGUCUGAAUCUAACUGAAUCUGGUUGUUCAUCUUUAAAGAAGAAAAUGAUGAUGUUCAAUCGACGAAGAGCAGGGGAGGUGUCAAAAAUGCCCCUCUGCUUAUUUGAGUGAGAAUUCAUCUGACCCCCAUGAAGAUGUAAAUGAAGCCCUCUCAGACCUAGAAAAUAAACCGUGUCAACAUUUCCGGAGGAUAGAGAUAAGAGGAAAAAGGUGAAGAAAGGUACCUGUGCUUUUGACCCCAGCAAUGCAACAAGCUUUGGAUCUGCUGGUCAGCAAACGGCAGGAAUGUGGGGUUCCUCAGGAGAACAUAUACUUGUUUGCAAGACCCUCCGCUUUUACCUGCUACCGUGGGUCUGAUUGCCUUCAACAUUGAUCCUGAGGAGAAUGUGCAGAUGGACAGUGACACUGAGGUGGCGUGUGAGUCAGAUUCACAAGAGAGUCGGGUAACAUCCAGUCAGAGGGAAGAGAAAGACCCUGCAAUGCCAGAUGUGGGUCAUAGCAAUGCAGCACCAGAGCAGGGCCCUCUGACACCUCAACAAGCCUCUCACUGCCAGUCACCAAAAAGGGGAAGAGGUCGCCAACCUUUAAAGAGAAAAAAGUGGGAGACAGAGGAGAUCCGUGCUGUGGAAAAACACUUGAUGUACUUCAUCACUUCAUGCCGUGUUCCAGGGAAAAGUGAUUGUGAUAAGUACCUUCAACAGGAAAAAACUGCACUUAAGGACAGAAAUUGGUUGGGCAUAAAAUUCUAUGUCAAAAAUCGAAUCACAACUCUCAAAAACAAAGUUUAAUUGUUAUUUGAUUUCUGUUGACACCUGUUUUACAUGUGUCACAUGUUAAAUCAUAAUCUCCCUUUAUCUCAGUUUAUCUAAUCUGAUGUCAUAAUUUCUUGCCUAUAGUCUCGUAUUUCAUUUUCUAUAAUCUUUAAUCAUUUAAAUCUUAUUGUUUUCAUAUUUGCAAAAAGUGUUGGCAGUUCUGUUAAGCUAUAGAAGGAGUGUUCAACUAACAAUUGUUUUUUUUAUUGAUGAACCUGUCAAUAACGUUAAGUCUAACAUGACUUCAUUAAUUAGCGUGUUUUUUUUUGGUCCCUAAUGCUAAUGUGUAUGGAGGACCAUACAUGACUUAAGUAUAAAUAAAUAAAUAUAUAAAUAAACAAAUAAAUGCAUAAGGAAAUAAGUACAGAAAUAAAUAGAUAAAUACGGGAAUAAAUACAGAAAUUACUAAAAUGUCUUAAAUGUACUUAUUUAUAUAUUUAUUUAUUUUUACUUAAGUCAUGUAUGGUCCUCCAUAAAUGUGUUGUAUUCACAAUAUAAUAAGAAAGAUAAUCCUCUUAUUUGAAGAGAUGGUACCAGUGACUGGCAUUUUUGUUUGAUACUUUUUUGAUAUCUGACAAUUUACAGUAAAGUGUUGUUGUUGAAAUGGCCGAAGCAUCUCAUUUGUAGCAACUUCCAUUAAAUUUAAACAAGGAAAUAAAAGAUACAGGAUUGUUCUGCUAAUGAUAGAUAAUGUGAAACAUUACUAUUAUACUUGAAUAGAAUAUUUUUUGAUGGCAUGCAAUUUUUGGAUAGGUCUUUGCCUUGCAUUUAAAUUGACAACAGUUAAUGUAAUUUUUAUUCAUGAUAGUUGAUGAGACUUUUGUCCUAUAAUAUUGCUAACCGUAGUUAAACAGUGCCUUUGAAUACUAGGUUUCAUAUGGUAGCAAAUUCUAAUCAUGAAUAAAAUCACUAGAGUAGCCUUAAAGUAAUGUUGUACCACUACUUGACAGAAACUUAAUUCUGACACAAAUGCUAAGCUCCAGCUGAUGAAUGUCAUGCUGCAUAAUGGUUCCAUAGAACUCACCUUUACAGUCGAAGGUGUCAAGUGGUUACCCAAAGUAGGAGCUCCAGCUGAUGAAUGUCAUGCUGCAUAAUGGUUCCAUAGAACUCACCUUUACAGUCGAAGGUGUCAAGUGGUUACCCAAAGUAGGUUAAACCUGAGUGUGUGUUGAGUGGUACUCAGGAAGUAAGAAAAACCAGACAGUGUGUAUAUAUUGACCUCACACAUAACUAAAUACCUGACAAGUCCCCAGGAGGUGGUACCUGGUCCGGUUGUGAACUCUACUUUGUCUGAUUGAUCAUUUGAAGCCACAUUCUUUUUAAGGACCACUCCAGGAUACUGCUUGAUUUUUCUCAGCUCUGUACACCUAACAGAAAGGGUGGAUCCCACAAUGCAAUCAUUUGUAGCAACUUCCAUUAAAUUUAAACAAGGAAAUAAAAGAUACAGGAUUGUUCUGCUAAUGAUAGAUAAUGUGAAACAUUACUAUUAUACUUGAAUAGAAUAUUUUUUGAUGGCAUGCAAUUUUUGGAUAGGUCUUUGCCUUGCAUUUAAAUUGACAACAGUUAAUGUAAUUUUUAUUCAUGAUAGUUGAUGAGACUUUUGUCCUAUAAUAUUGCUAACCGUAGUUAAACAGUGCCUUUGAAUACUAGGUUUCAUAUGGUAGCAAAUUCUAAUCAUGAAUAAAAUCACUAGAGUAGCCUUAAAGUAAUGUUGUACCACUACUUGACAGAAACUUAAUUCUGACACAAAUGCUAAGCUCCAGCUGAUGAAUGUCAUGCUGCAUAAUGGUUCCAUAGAACUCACCUUUACAGUCGAAGGUGUCAAGUGGUUACCCAAAGUAGGAGCUCCAGCUGAUGAAUGUCAUGCUGCAUAAUGGUUCCAUAGAACUCACCUUUACAGUCGAAGGUGUCAAGUGUUUACCCAAAGUAGGUUAAACCUGAGUGUGUGUUGAGUGGUACUCAGGAAGUAAGAAAAACCAGACAGUGUGUAUAUAUUGACCUCACACAUAACUAAAUACCUGACAAGUCCCCAGGAGGUGGUACCUGGUCCGGUUGUGAACUCUACUUUGUCUGAUUGAUCAUUUGAAGCCACAUUCUUUUUAAGGACCACUCCAGGAUACUGCUUGAUUUUUCUCAGCUCUGUACACCUAACAGAAAGGGUGGAUCCCACAAUGCAAUCAUUUGUAGCAACUUCCAUUAAAUUUAAACAAGGAAAUAAAAGAUACAGGAUUGUUCUGCUAAUGAUAGAUAAUGUGAAACAUUACUAUUAUACUUGAAUAGAAUAUUUUUUGAUGGCAUGCAAUUUUUGGAUAGGUCUUUGCCUUGCAUUUAAAUUGACAACAGUUAAUGUAAUUUUUAUUCAUGAUAGUUGAUGAGACUUUUGUCCUAUAAUAUUGCUAACCGUAGUUAAACAGUGCCUUUGAAUACUAGGUUUCAUAUGGUAGCAAAUUCUAAUCAUGAAUAAAAUCACUAGAGUAGCCUUAAAGUAAUGUUGUACCACUACUUGACAGAAACUUAAUUCUGACACAAAUGCUAAGCUCCAGCUGAUGAAUGUCAUGCUGCAUAAUGGUUCCAUAGAACUCACCUUUACAGUCGAAGGUGUCAAGUGGUUACCCAAAGUAGGAGCUCCAGCUGAUGAAUGUCAUGCUGCAUAAUGGUUCCAUAGAACUCACCUUUACAGUCGAAGGUGUCAAGUGAUUACCCAAAGUAGGUUAAACCUGAGUGUGUGUUGAGUGGUACUCAGGAAGUAAGAAAAACCAGACAGUGUGUAUAUAUUGACCUCACACAUAACUAAAUACCUGACAAGUCCCCAGGAGGUGGUACCUGGUCCGGUUGUGAACUCUACUUUGUCUGAUUGAUCAUUUGAAGCCACAUUCUUUUUAAGGACCACUCCAGGAUACUGCUUGAUUUUUCUCAGCUCUGUACACCUAACAGAAAGGGUGGAUCCCACAAUGCAAUCAUUUGUAGCAACUUCCAUUAAAUUUAAACAAGGAAAUAAAAGAUACAGGAUUGUUCUGCUAAUGAUAGAUAAUGUGAAACAUUACUAUUAUACUUGAAUAGAAUAUUUUUUGAUGGCAUGCAAUUUUUGGAUAGGUCUUUGCCUUGCAUUUAAAUUGACAACAGUUAAUGUAAUUUUUAUUCAUGAUAGUUGAUGAGACUUUUGUCCUAUAAUAUUGCUAACCAUAGUUAAACAGUGCCUUUGAAUACUAGGUUUCAUAUGGUAGCAAAUUCUUAUCAUGAAUAAAAUCACUAGAGUAGCCUUAAAGUAAUGUUGUACCACUACUUGACAGAAACUUAAUUCUGACACAAAUGCUAAGCUCCAGCUGAUGAAUGUCAUGCUGCAUAAUGGUUCCAUAGAACUCACCUUUACAGUCGAAGGUGUCAAGUGGUUACCCAAAGUAGGAGCUCCAGCUGAUGAAUGUCAUGCUGCAUAAUGGUUCCAUAGAACUCACCUUUACAGUCGAAGGUGUCAAGUGGUUACCCAAAGUAGGUUAAACCUGAGUGUGUGUUGAGUGGUACUCAGGAAGUAAGAAAAACCAGACAGUGUGUAUAUAUUGACCUCACACAUAACUAAAUACCUGACAAGUCCCCAGGAGGUGGUACCUGGUCCGGUUGUGAACUCUACUUUGUCUGAUUGAUCAUUUGAAGCCACAUUCUUUUUAAGGACCACUCCAGGAUACUGCUUGAUUUUUCUCAGCUCUGUACACCUAACAGAAAGGGUGGAUCCCACAAUGCAUGGUCUUGUCUUGUAACCCCACAAUAUCAUAAAGACAAGUAUGUGUGUGUGUG